rnacentral:rRNA from 1 species
CCUACGGGAGGCAGCAGUGAGGAAUAUUGGUCAAUGGACGAGAGUCUGAACCAGCCAAGUAGCGUGAAGGAUGACUGCCCUAUGGGUUGUAAACUUCUUUUAUAUGGGAAUAAAAUGUUCCACGUGUGGGAUUUUGUAUGUACCAUAUGAAUAAGGAUCGGCUAACUCCGUGCCAGCAGCCGCGGUAAUACGGAGGCUCCGAGCGUUAUCCGGAUUUAUUGGGUUUAAAGGGAGCGUAGGUGGAUUGUUAAGUCAGUUGUGAAAGUUUGCGGCUCAAACGUAAAAUUGCAGUUGAAACUGGCAGUCUUGAGUACAGUAGAGGUGGGCGGAAUUCGUGGUGUAGCGGUGAAAUGCUUAGAUAUAAGGAAGAACUCCGAUUGCGAAGGCAGUUCACUGGACUGCAACUGACACUGAGGCUCGAAAGUGUGGGUAUCAAACAGGAUUAGAUACCCCUGUAGUC